GAUCAUGGCUCAGGACGAACGCUGGCGGCGUGCCUAACACAUGCAAGUCGAACGGAACUUCUUUAAUUGAUUUCUUCGGAAUGAUUUUGAUUAAGUUUAGUGGCGGACGGGUGAGUAACGCGUGAGUAACCUGCCUCUAAGAGGGGAAUAACAUUCUGAAAAGAAUGCUAAUACCGCAUAAUAUAUAUUUAUCGCAUGGUAGAUAUAUCAAAGAUUUAUCGCUUAGAGAUGGACUCGCGUCCG
rnacentral:rRNA from 1 species